rnacentral:rRNA from 1 species
UGUCUGUCCCACCGUCUAAAAAACGGUGGUUAGCAAGGGCCGGGUAAGACCGGUGCCAGCCGCCGCGGUAAUACCGGCGGCUCGAGUGGUGGCCGAUAUUAUUGAGUCUAAAGGGUCCGUAGCCGGCUCCGCAAGUCCCCUGGGAAAUCCAGCGGCCUAACCGUUGGUCGUCCAUGGGAUACUACGUUGCUUGGGACUGGGAGAGGUGGGAGGUACUCGGGGGGUAGGGGUGAAAUCCUGUAAUCCUCCGGGGACCACCGGUGGCGAAGGCGUCCCACCAGAACAGGUCCGACGGUGAGGGACGAAAGCUAGGGGCACGAACCGGAUUAGAUACCCGGGUAGUCCUAGCCGUAAACGAUGCCCGCUAGGUGUCACGGCGGUCGUGAAUCGCCGUGGUGCCGUAGGGAAGCCGCGAAGCGGGCCACUUGGGAAGUACGACCGCAAGGUUGAAACUUAAAGGAAUUGGCGGGGGAGCACCACAACGGGUGGAGCCUGCGGUUUAAUUGGAUUCAACGCCGGGAAGCUUACCGGGAUCGACAGUUG